ACUGGAAGCACGGUACAUUUCAGAAAGCUUCCUAGAAGUGCUGGUAUCUAAGUUAAGUUUUGAUGAAUGGGUUAGAUUUGGAGGGCAGUGUUCCAACAGGAGCAGCAGCAUGUACAGAGGCCAGAAGUAUGAGAAUAUCAGCUGUUUAUGACUCCCUUGACUUUGAAAUGUCUAGAAAUAGAAAUCCUCUCCAGCUUCUGCAGUGCAUUGUUGAUGAGGAUUCGCCCGUCCUUCCAGUUGGAGAGUUCUCGGAGCCAUUUGUACAUUUCAUCACUCAGUGUAUGCGAAAACAGCCAAAAGAAAGGCCAGCACCUGAAGAAUUGAUGGGCCACCCGUUCAUCGUGCAGUUCAAUGAUGGAAACGCCACCGUGGUGUCCAUGUGGGUGUGCCGGGCGCUGGAGGAGAGGCGGAGC
rnacentral:sRNA from 1 species